rnacentral:lncRNA from 1 species
GUCAGCUUUUGGUCCAGUGACUCACAGAAACUCCAAGACAGAUUAAACUAGCAAGCGUUGAAUAUCUGAAUUUCCAAAAUUGUGAGGCUACAAAAAGAAGCAUAAAUUAAAGUUAGGACCAAAUGCUGCUCAGAAAUCGUUUUAAUCUCAAAAGUAGUUGGCAAGUUUUCAGAGUUCAUUUUCAAGGCCUCGUGUAUGUGAAACAACUGAACAUUCAGAGCUAUUUCAUUUUCAAAGAUCCUCAUGUCCAACAGAGAGAAGAAGGUCAUAUGAAGACACGCAGAAUUUGGAGUUACGCUGUCACAAGUCAAGGAGUGCUUAGAGCUACCAGGAGAUGGAAGAGUCAAGGCAGGAUUUUCCCUGGAAGAUUUGGAAGGAAUGUGUUUCUCCUGAAACCUUGAUUCUAGCCUUCUGGAAGAUUUGGAAGGAAUGUGUUUCUCCUGAAACCUUGAUUCUAGCCUUCACUAAUGACAGAGAAUAAAUUUAUGUUCUUUUAAGCCA